UGGGGGCAACCCUGAUCCAGCCAUGCCGCGUGUGUGAAGAAGGCCCUCGGGUUGUAAAGCACUUUCAGCGAGGAAGAACGCCUGUCGGUUAAUACCCGGCAGGAAAGACAUCACUCGCAGAAGAAGCACCGGCUAACUCCGUGCCAGCAGCCGCGGUAAUACGGAGGGUGCAAGCGUUAAUCGGAAUUACUGGGCGUAAAGCGCGCGUAGGUGGCUUGAUAAGCCGGUUGUGAAAGCCCCGGGCUCAACCUGGGAACGGCAUCCGGAACUAUUAGGCUAGAGUGCAGGAGAGGAAGGUAGAAUUCCCGGUGUAGCGGUGAAAUGCGUAGAGAUCGGGAGGAAUACCAGUGGCGAAGGCGGCCUUCUGGACUGACACUGACACUGAGGUGCGAAAGCGUGGGUAGCAAACAGGAUUAGAUACCCUGGUAGUCCACGCCGUAAACGAUGUCGACCAGCCGUUGGGUGCCUAGCGCACUUUGUGGCGAAGUUAACGCGAUAAGUCGACCGCCUGGGGAGUACGGCCGCAAGGUUA
rnacentral:rRNA from 1 species